rnacentral:pre_miRNA from 15 species
GAAUAAAAAACCCGUAGAAACAAAUUUAAAGUGGCUUAUUGCAGAAACAAAAUUUGUUUCUAUGGUUUUUUAUUCC